AAGAAGAAGAAGAAGAAGAAGAAGAAGAAGAAGAAGAAGAAGAAGAAGAGAAAGAACAACAACAACAACGAUAAUAAUAAUAAUAAAAAAAUUAUUACGAAAAAGAAUAAAAAAAUAAAUGAAAAAGGAACAAGAUUAAGAGGAAAAGGAAGAAGGGAAAGAAGAAGAAAAUAAGAAGAACAAGAGGAAAAGGAGUAAAAAGAAAGAAAAUUCGAAAUAGGAAAAAGAAAACGAGAAAAUAAAAUAAAAGAAGGAAAAUCAAUAAAAACAAUAAUAAAAAAGAGAAAUACCAAGAAGAAAAGAAGAGGAGGAGCAAGAACAAGGAGAAGAAGACGAAGAAGAAGAAGAAGAAGCACAGGAAGAGGAAGCCACAAGAAGAGGAGGAGGAGGCGCACGAAGACAGGUGGCAUGUUACACAAAACCUAUUGGCUGUUAACGAGGCUGUCUACCUGAGCACCUGACGCGACCCUCCCGCCCCACCUGUUGCCGCCUCGACCCGGACUGGAGAGGGAGGGGUAGACACGGACAGGGAGAGGUAGAGAGGAAGGAGAGGUAGACAGGAACAGGGAGAGGUAGACAGGAACAGGGAGAGGUAAACAGGAAUGAGAGGUAGACAGGAACAGGGAGAGGUAGACAGGAACAUGGAGAGGUAGACAGGAACAGGGAGAGAUUGACAGGAACAGGGAGAGGUAGACAGGAACAGGGAGAGGUAGACAGGAACAGGGAGAGGUAGACAGGAACAGGGAAAGGUAGACAGGAACAGGGAGAGGUAAACAGGAAGGAGAGGUAGACAGGAACAGGGAGAGGUAGACAGGAACAGGGAGAGGUAGACAGCAAGAAGGAAGAGAAAGACAGCAAACAGCAAGAUAGAACAAAAGGAAAUAUAAAAAGCAAACAAGUAAAGAGAAAAUUAAGAUCAAACAGGAAAAGAUAGAUAAGAAAAUAAAUAUAGAAAGCAAGAUAGGAAGGAAACAGGAAAAGGGAAACAUUCAAACAGUCAAUCCGUCAAUCAUUUGGGUGACUUGCCUCGGCCACCCUACGACGUCAAGUUUGGGGGUCCUUUCGGGUGAGUCUCCAUGCAGGCCCCCUCCCUUCCUGAGUACCUCCCGGCAGGAUCUAUAGGGCAGGGUCGGCUCUUGGGCAGCGUGCCACGUGCCCGUAUAGCCGGAGUUGGCGUUGACGGACUAUGCAGGUCAUAUAUGUCGAAUCAGUCUCGUGCACGGAGUAGUCGCCAGUUUAACACCAAGGUCGAGAUUAUAAAACACUUUCGCUUUUCACAUCAGCUAUUUCUAAAGGUCAAAGGUGGGGUCAGUCGGGUUCUAGUGAGUGUUUCUUCAGGUUCAUGGUACAGAAGAAGGAUCAGACUACCACCAGGGUCAUAAAACUACCCCUGGAAAUGCCCACAACUCCUACGAAAGCCUUGUCUAAUUUGUGUUUUUGGGCGGCGAAAUGUCUUAUGAUACGACCCAGUCUUUCCAGCGAUAUCCCGUGAUUCUGUGUAGACAUUUACUACCAAAGGCACCGGUCCUCCCGAAACUGACCUCUCUCUCGCCCACCUCUUUUGAUUCUCUUUAUAGGAGCAGGGAGUAGCGGGCUUUUUUUUUAUCAUUGUUUCCUUUUUUUGUGUGCCCUUGAGCUGUCUCCUUUGUUGUGAAAAAAAAAAUAUAAAAAACCCCGCCUCUCCAAGACCCCGGUUAGUGUCCACAUCUUACAGCCACAGAGUCAGACAGGGAGCACAAGAAGAUUCGGAUCGUUGUCCUGCACCGGUAUCCAGAACGCUGGGCGACGUCGUAACACCGCGGGGCAGGACAAUCCGCCGUAAGACUCCCUGACAAGGAUGAAAGGAUAGCAAGAAGACAGGAAAGGAGAAAGGGCAACGAAAGAGGAAAAUAUAAAAAAAAGCAAACAGGAAUAAAUAAAGAAGAAAAUCUCACGAAAAACAGUAAAAACAGGAAAAAGGAGAUAUGAUAAACGAAGCUGUAGAGGAAAAUAAAAAAAAGCAAACAGGAAUAAAUAAAGAAGAAAAUCUCACGAAAAACAUAACAAUAGGAAAAGGGAGACACGAUAAACGAAACUUGAGGAAAAUAAAAUAAAAAAAUAGUAAAAAAAAAAUCAAAUCUAUUCCUCGUUAUUUUCAUGAAGACGCGAUGAGGAGGGUAAUGGAAGCAGAGGAAGGAGGAGGAUAACAGGAGGAAGAAGAAAGGGAAGGGAAAAUGAAGGAAAAAGAAAACAUAGAAAGGAAGAGAGAACGAGGAGGAGGAGGAGGAGAAACGAAGGUGAUUAAAGAGGAAAGAGGAGAUUAGGAGAUAUUGCUAAGGGAGAGGGAAGGAAAGAGGAGAGGGAAAAUAUUAGAGGAAGAGGAAGAGAAAGGACGAGAAAGGAGAAGGAAGGAAAAACAGAGGAGAAAAAAAGGAAAGAGGAAAGCGAAAAUAUAAGAGGAAGAGGAAGAGAAAGGACGGGAAAGGAGAAGGAAGGAAAAAAAGGAGAAAAAGAGGAAAGCGAAAAUAUAAGAGGAAGAGAAAGGAAAGGACGAGAAAGGAGAAGGAAGGAAAAACAGAGGAGAAAAAAAGAGAGGAAGAGGAAGAAAAAGAAAUAGAAAUAAAGAGGAGGAGGAAGGAAAAGGAGGAGAAAGAGAAAGAAAGAGGAGGAGGAAGGAGAAAAGAGGAGAAAGAAAAGGAGAGGAGGAGGGAGGGAAAAAGAGGAGAAAGAGAGAGAGGAGGAGGAAGAAGGAAAAGGAGAAGAAAUAGAAGGGAAGAGAAUGAAGGAAAAAGACACGAAAAAGUAAAAAAAAAAUGAGAGAAAGAAACUGAAAGAGAAGAAAGAAAGGAAAAGAGGAGAAAGAGAAGGAAAAAGGAGGGGAAAAAAGAGGAAAAAAGUAAGGAAAGGAGGAGGAGGAAGGAAAAAGAAAAAAAAGGAAAGAAAGAAGAGGAAGAAAAAGGGAGGCGAAAGAAAAGGAGAAAGAAGGAAGAAGGAAAAUAUAAAAAGGAAAGGAAGGAGAAAGGAAACUGAAGGAAAGGAGGAAGAUUUACGAUGAAUAGGAAGCGAUU